AAAGAAAAAAAAAACUCGACUAAACCUAAACAAAACCCUCUCUUCCAUUAUUCGAUCUAGCUCCGCCUUCACCUUCUUCUCCGCCAUCUACACAUCUGUAUCAUCCUAAUAUAUUCACUUUUCUUCUUUUCUUCGUUGUUUUACCUUCAUGUUUAUAUUGGUCUCUGUUUGUAUCUGUGAUAGCUUUGAUUAUUUUGAUCAACUAGGGUUUUUUAUCUGUUGCAGGUAAUAGGUCUCUCUGUUUUCUUAUUCUUCUUUUCUUCGUUGAUUUACCUUCAGGUGCAAGAUAGUAUACUUGCGGCUAAGGUGCAAAGGUGUUGUUCUUGAGAACUGAUGUUAAUGAUAGCUCAAUUGGGUAUAAGAACUCCAGCAGAUGCAUGGCUUCUAAACCCUGAGACAUAUGAUUGGUAUGCUGUAGAGUUUGUAGAACUUUCUUAAGGGGGAGGCUAUUUAAAUGAGGUAAGAAGAGGGAAUGCUAAGAAAUCAGACAAUAUGGUGCCACUAUGGGAUUUAAGUAUUGAAAGCUCAAACAUUGGUAAGUUAUAGUACAAUUUGUCAUAUGCAAUUAUAUGAAAGAUACGCAUGUGUGCAUGUCUAAAUCAGCUUUUAGCAUAUGAAUUUGUUGCAUUUCUGUGUUUAGAUAUCACUUUUCUCACCAAACUUCCUAACUUCUCAUAUAUUUUCCGAAAAGAAAAAGAAAAAAAAAACUAAUCACCUCUCUUCCAUUAUUCAAGCAAGCUCCGCCUCCACCUUUCUUCUUCACCACUUAUAAAUCUUUCUCACACUAAUCUGUGUAACCCUAAUCACCUCUCUUCUUUUAUUCCUUUAUUUACCUUCAGGUAUUCUCAUAUCUGUCUAUGUAUGUUCUGUACUGGAUUCGAUUUAAGAAUCUAUAUAUUAUCUACUGAUGUUGUUUUCAUGGUCAACUUGGGGUUUAUAUCUGUUGAAUUUAUAUAUCAGGAAUUGCCUACUAUUAUCUUCAUGGAGGAUGUCAAUGAGAAGUUAGACAAAUCAUUGACAAAUCGGUAUAAACAGUAUGACACCAAGGGGUGAAGAAACAAUGAAAUGAAGAUAACUCUCUUAUCUGUUAAGCUUUACUAUUUUUCAAGAAUAUCCAAGCUUUUUUACGUUUUUGAGCUUAAUUAACAUUUCGGGGUGUAGUUUUAUUUUUUCAUCUUCUUAUACAAUUACUUGAUAGGACAUAUGAGAUGCAUGAUUCAAUUACUUUGACAACUAGGGCCUUCCAAUCUUUACACAUAUGAGUAUUCAUGAACUUUAUUUGUUGGUCUUUAAUGGACAUUUCAAUUUAUGAAAUCCCCGUCCCAUAGCUGAACCUGUUAGCAAACAAGUGAGUAUUUCAUAUUUUUAUGGUCAUGAGCUAUGAUCCAGCUAAUUAAUUUCAAUAUCAUUGGAACUUAUAACGAUCUUUUGUUUUUGUUUUUCUUUUGGUAUUGUAUUAUGAAUUUAGAUCCCUUCUGAUGGACUUAUCAGUUUAACUCAGGUUUCAGGCAAGGGUGUUGUCGGUAUGGCAAAUUGCACGACGCAUAUUAGUGGCUCUGAAUUUUUUAUGGCAGUGCAAGUCUGCAAAUCAUUUGCUCUAUAAGCAUUCUGUUUUCGGGGGAAUUGUGGGUGGGUUAACUACCCUUGCAGCGAUGAAGAAGGUUCAUGUGGAUGACAGUCGCCGACAUUUGGGUGUUCAGCAGUUCAUGGGCUUCCAGUUUCAAUGCCGAUGAUAGCCUCAUCGAUUCUCCGCCAGCCAGGACUCCUUAGUCCAUUGAAGGAGGGAUUUUCGAGGUUCUUAUGGAUUUCACCUCUGGGUGCUGUGAACUUCGCAGGUUACAAGCUUGCACAGAAGGAAAUGGACAAAAGACGAAGAACGAUCAACAAAUAAUCAGCUAAACAGUUUUGUUUCGAGGCAAAGGAAAAUUUAUUAAUAUGGAGUGGUGGUUACUUAAUUAGCAUGAGGGCAGAGAAUGAUAUAUCAUGGAAUUAAAGAGUUACGUGCAUGUCUAGAUUUAACUCAUAAUAUGAUUUUUAAAGACUUGAGAGUUUCAAGACUGGAAGAUGAUGCGUUGAUGGACUUCCUUUGGGAAAAUGCACAUGAAUUUCAUAGAUGUUCCUUUAUGAGGAAAAAGGCUCUGAAAAAUCUUCCUUACGUUCGCAUGAAUUUUGUAAGCUCCACUGCUCCGGUAUCAGAGAAACCAACAUAGACGGAUAAACUUUUAUUAUUUUAAAACGUUGUUUGGAUGGAUGCACAUCAUUUGUGAAAAAAUUGUUGGUUUGAUAUGUUAUUAUUGUUAGUAGUGUUUUUUCGAUUUUGCUAAGGGAACAUGUCUGGAUGUAGAUGUUAUCAACUCUGCAGCAAUAACUGGAAUAUAAUUCUUCACGUCGUCAAUUCCUACA